CUGUCCGAGGGGCGCUGCAGCAGGUCAGACCUGUCAGGCUCGGAUGGGGCGUUGUUUGAUCAGGCUCUCGCCGAUCAAGCUUUAAACGCACAACGGCGCCCAUUCGCA
rnacentral:ncRNA from 1 species